rnacentral:misc_RNA from 1 species
AAGAGUUGACCCUAACUCCUAAACCCAUGUGAACAUACCUUGCGUUGCCUCGGCGGGUUAGGCCCUCGUGCCUCGCCCGCCGGCGGCCCACGAAACUCUGUUUAUUACUGAAAUCUGAGCCUGAAAACACAUAAGUUA